rnacentral:rRNA from 1 species
AUGCUCCCCGGCUGGCCAAACCAGCCGAGCCUGUCCGCCAUCAGGUGCAGGUUGUUGCAGCCCCCACAGCGGGCGACCACCACCCCGUUGUCGUACGAGUCCCGGCUGGCCAUCUUCACGGACCUCGUCUCGCAGACCUUGCACGUGAAGAUCAUCGCCAUGUCGUGCCUCGGAGAGAUCUUCAGGGUCGACGCGUCUCUGACCUUGAAGCUCGACUCCGCUGCCGCAGGGACCGAAGCUGGCCGCGGCGGGGUGCCGGUCUUGUGA